UACGAAGGGGGCUAGCGUUGCUCGGAAUCACUGGGCGUAAAGGGUGCGUAGGCGGGUCUUUAAGUCAGGGGUGAAAUCCUGGAGCUCAACUCCAGAACUGCCUUUUAGACUGCAUCGCUUGAAUCCAGGAGAGGUGAGUGGAAUUCCGAGUGUAGAGGUGAAAUUCGUAGAUAUUCGGAAGAACACCAGUGGCGAAGGCGGCUCACUGGACUGGUAUUGACGCUGAGGUGCGAAAGCGUGGGGAGCAAACAGG
rnacentral:rRNA from 1 species